AAUAUCUUUGCCUUUAGAAAAUCUGCACCUUUAGAAAGAAAAAGAGAGAGAAUUGGCUUGGAAACAAAGAGAGAAAGGAAGAAAGGAGAAAGGAAGAAUGAAAGAAAGGAGAAAAAAGAAAAAGACAAGGAAGGUUGGCCCAGUGGUUUCAAGCUAAGGAAGGUCCUCCAAGAAUUGAAAGAAAUAGAUGCAUGCUUAUGGGCCAAUCUUGGAAUCCAUGGUGAUUUGAGCUAGAUAAGCUAUGGCAAUGGUGACCAUGGGUAUGAGGAAAUUAUGAGCUAUAAGUGUGGAAUUCAAGCUAAAACUGAAAGAUAGUAAUCGGCCUGGCGUGCAAUCAUCGGCACUUAUGGUUCACCGCGGAUAGGUAAAGCCAUCUCAUAGCAUUUCAUUCUGAGUCACUCCGCUGCUACAGGUCGAGUCAUUCGUAGCAUAAUUUGAUUAUAAAUAGUAUUAAUGUAAAUGUAUGAUUGGAUAUUAAAGACCUUGAUGUACUUCUACAAUCAUGUUGAAUAAAA